CCUACGGGGGGCAGCAGUGGGGGAUAUUGCACAAUGGGGGGAACCCUGAUGCAGCGACGCCGCGUGGGUGAAGAAGCGCCUCGGCGCGUAAAGCCCUGUCAGCAGGGAAGAAAAUGACGGUACCUGAAGCAGAAGCCCCGGCUAACUACGUGCCAGCAGCCGCGGUAAUACGUAGGGGGCAAGCGUUAUCCGGAUUUACUGGGUGUUAAGGGGGCGCAGUCGGCGAUGCAAGCCAGGGGUGAAAGCCCGGGGCCCAACCCCGGGACUGCUCUUGGAACUGCGUGGCUGGAGUGCAGGAGGGGCAGGCGGAAUGCGUGGUGUAGCGGUGAAAUGCGUAGAUAUCAGGAGGAACACCGGUGGCGAAGGCGGCCUGCUGGGCUGCAACUGACGUUGAGGCCCGAAAGCGUGGGGAGCAAACAGGAUUAGAUACCCCAGUAGUC
rnacentral:rRNA from 1 species